rnacentral:rRNA from 1 species
UGAGGAAUAUUGGGCAAUGCCCGCAAGGGUGACCCAGCAACGCCGCGUGGAGGAUGAAUGUCGUAAGAUUGUAAACUCCUGUUAGAGGGGAAGAAUAGUACCGGUUGGACCGGUAUAUGACUGUACCCUCAGAGAAAGACCCGGCUAACUACGUGCCAGCAGCCGCGGUAAUACGUAGGGGGCAAGCGUUGUCCGAAUUUACUGGGUGUAAAGGGCGCGCAGGCGGGAUAAAAAGUCAGUGGUGAAAUCCUACAGCUUAACUGUAGAACUGCCUUUGAUAAUUUUAUUCUUGAGUUCGGGAGAGAGAGACGGAAUUCCAGGUGUAGUGGUGAAAUACGUAGAUAUCUGGAAGAACACCAGUUGCGAAGGCGGUCUCUUGGUCCGACACUGACGCUGAGGCGCGAAAGCGUGGGGAGCAAACA